rnacentral:misc_RNA from 1 species
CUGCUGUACUGAAUUUUGAAAUCAUUGGCUUGUCCUUGGAGCCGCAGGAAUGACAAAUGAAGUUCAACAUUAUACCGACCCCUUGGUGUCAGGAUUGCAACACCAUCAAACGUAACAACAGCUUCUUCACCACCAGGGUCAACAUCUGCCAUUGACAAAAUCUUUUCUCGGAAGACCUGAGCAGGAGGUCGAUUUUCAUCACCAACAUAUUGGGUGUUGUUACCAGGUAUGUGAAAACUCAUCUCCAUCAAUGAAUCUUUCUCAUUAGCUCCAGUUGUAUCAUCCACGUGGAACUCCAAUAUGACAUCAUUUUUUCCUUGCAACUGCAUUUGUGAGACAUCUGCUAAAGAUACCUCAAAUGCUUGCUUUGAACCAACCAGAA